CCUACGGGAGGCAGCAGUGAGGAAUAUUGGUCAAUGGACGAGAGUCUGAACCAGCCAAGUAGCGUGAAGGAUGACUGCCCUAUGGGUUGUAAACUUCUUUUAUAUGGGAAUAAAACAGGGUAUGCAUACCCUCUUGUAUGUACCAUAUGAAUAAGGAUCGGCUAACUCCGUGCCAGCAGCCGCGGUAAUACUGAGGAUCCGAGCGUUAUCCGGAUUUAUUGGGUGUAAAGGGAGCGUAGGUGGAUUGUUAAGUCAGUUGUGAAAGUUUGCGGCUCAACCGUAAAAUUGCAGUUGAAACUGGCAGUCUUGAGUACAGUAGAGGUGGGCGGAAUUCGUGGUGUAGCGGUGAAAUGCUUAGAUAUCACGAAGAACUCCGAUUGCGAAGGCAGCUCACUGGACUGCAACUGACACUGAUGCUCGAAAGUGUGGGGAUCAAACAGGAUUAGAUACCCGAGUAGUC
rnacentral:rRNA from 1 species